UAGAGAGCUUGCUCUCUGAUGGCGAGUGGCGAACGGGUGAGUAACAUAUCGGAACGUGCCUAGUAAUGGGGAAUAACUAAUCGAAAGAUUAGCUAAUACCGCAUACGACCUACGGGUGAAAGCAGGGGAUCUUCGGACCUUGCGUUAUUAGAGCGGCCGAUAUCUGAUUAGGUAGUUGGUAGGGUAAAGGCCUACCAAGCCGACGAUCAGUAGCUGGUCUGAGAGGACGAUCAGCCACACUGGAACUGAGACACGGUCCAGACUCC
rnacentral:rRNA from 2 species